rnacentral:rRNA from 1 species
UAGGGAAUCUUCGGCAAUGGGGGGAACCCUGACCGAGCAACGCCGCGUGAGUGAAGAAGGUUUUCGGAUCGUAAAGCUCUGUUGUUAAGGAAGAACGAGUGUGAGAAUGGAAAGUUCAUGCUGUGACGGUACUUAACCAGAAAGGGACGGCUAACUACGUGCCAGCAGCCGCGGUAAUACGUAGGUCCCGAGCGUUGUCCGGAUUUAUUGGGCGUAAAGCGAGCGCAGGCGGUUAGAAAAGUCUGAAGUGAAAGGCAGUGGCUCAACCAUUGUAGGCUUUGGAAACUGUUUAACUUGAGUGCAGAAGGGGAGAGUGGAAUUCCAUGUGUAGCGGUGGAAUGCGUAGGUAUAUGGAGGACCACCGGUGACGAAAGCGGCUCUCUGGUCUGUAACUGACGCUGAGGCUCGAAAGCGUGGGGAGCGAACAGG